rnacentral:rRNA from 1 species
GUGCGUAGGCGGGUAGGUAAGUCAGUGGUGAAAUCCUGGAGCUCAACUCCAGAACUGCCAUUGAUACUAUCUAUCUUGAAUAUUGUGGAGGUAAGCGGAAUAUGUCAUGUAGCGGUGAAAUGCUUAGAUAUGACAUAGAACACCCAUUGCGAAGGCAGCUUACUACGCAUAUAUUGACGCUGAGGCACGAAAGCGUGGGGAUCAAACAGGAUUAGAUACCCUGGUAGUCCACGCCCUAAACUAUGGAUACUCGACAUAUGCGAUACACUGUAUGUGUCUGAGCGAAAGCAUUAAGUAUCCCACCUGGGAAGUACGUUCGCAAGAAUGAAACUCAAAGGAAUUGGCGGGGGUCCGCACAAGCGGUGGAGUAUGUGGUUUAAUUCGAUGAUACGCGAGGAACCUUACCUGGGCUAGAAUGCUGGGAGACCGUGGGUGAAAGCUCACUUUGUAGCAAUACACUGCCAGUAAGGUGCUGCAUGGCUGUCGUCAGCUCGUGCCGUGAGGUGUUGGGUUAAGUCCCGCAACGAGCGCAACCCCCAUCUUUAGUUGCCAGCGAGUAAUGUCGGGGACUCUAAAGAAACUGCCUACGCAAGUAGUGAGGAAGGCGGGGACGACGUCAAGUCAUCACGGCCCUUACGUCCUGGGCCACACACGUGCUACAAUGGUAGGUACAGAGGGCAGCUACCGGGUGACCGGAUGCGAAUCUCUAAAGCCUAUCUCAGUUCGGAUCGGAGUCUGCAACUCGACUCCGUGA